AUAUCCAUGUGAAUCUGGACCUUAUUCUGCAGUCAGACACAGAGCAGACUGCUUCCACGUGAAGAGGAGAAGGUAAUAUCCUAAAAGCACUCUCUCUGAUUUGGUUAACCGUGUUGUAGCUGAGCUUUUUAUGAAUCAAAUUUCUCGCUGUGAGAAAUAAAAAUCAAGGAAAAAACUGGAAGCUGCAAAAAUCUUUGACUCUUUUCCGUCUGAACAACAACAACAAAAAAGCCUCUCAAUCCUUCUGAAAGAGAAAGAAGCGGUGCUCAUCAUCCAAACCGAGCAAAUCCAAAGACAGGAGCAGAUCAAAUAAGAAAACAUGGACACAGAGUGUACGUGGCAUCUGCUGGGAGGAUUGAUGCUCGCUCUGAGUGAAAGCAGAUUAUGUUAAAGCCUAAACUAGGCUUUUACAUUUUGUCAAAUCCUGCAGCCAUAAUCUAAUCUUAUCCGUCUCAAUCCAAUUUUUAAUGCUGGCUACACAUGGGAUUAAAGGAGUGCAGUUUGCUUUGUAGGCCAUUUGACAGCAAGCAGCAUCUGCUGCUGAAGAAGAGCAGCUCGAGGAGAAGCAGAGGAAAGCAGGAUGUAGCAGCUGCACACAGCGCCAAAACUACCACCGAAUGAUAAUAACCAUGACAUCACUGUGAUUAACAGACCAGCUGACCUGACCUGAACCCUGGAGAGACUCUGUUGGAUAUUUGUCAAGAGAAACACCUGACACAGAACUAAAGACGGACUGAAGGCUCAAAACAACUUGAACUUCAGUACGACCUGAGCAGAGCUACAGACUGAUGAUGUAAUCAUUAAUGAAUAUGGUGAAUAAAUGAAAGUUGACGUCUCUGUAUUUAUUUAUGAAAAAAGUAACUUAUUGAAUGACAUUCUAAUAGUUUGAGCUGCAUCAGUAAAUAAAGAUUUCAUGAUGA